ACAAACCGGAGGAAGGUGGGGAUGACGUCAAGUCCUCAUGGCCCUUACCAUCCCGGGCUACACACGUGCUACAAUGGCAGGUACAGAGGGCUGCGAAGCCGCGAGGUGGAGCGAAUCCCAGAAACCUGUCUCAGUCCGGAUUGAAGUCUGCAACUCGACUUCAUGAAGGCGGAAUCGCUAGUAACCGCGAAUCAGCAGGUCGCGGUGAAUACGUUCCCGGGCCUU
rnacentral:rRNA from 1 species